rnacentral:tRNA from 1 species
GUUAAUGUAGCUUAACAUAAAGCAAAGCACUGAAAAUGCUUAGAUGGAUUGUUAGAAAUCCCAUAAACA